UUAAAUAGUGUCAUUGGAGUGGAGAGAGUUAGCAGUUACAGGAACAUUGCCACCACCAAGGUGUGGUCAUACAGCCACUAUGGUUGAGAAACGGUUGCUUGUAUAUGGUGGCAGAGGAGGUGGAGGACCAAUCAUGGGUGAUUUAUGGGGUUUAAAGGGUCUCAUUGAAGAAGGUAUGGGUAAUGAUGUCUGGAUAAAAUGCUAUAUACAUAAAGUCUGUUACUUUUAUAGACCGAAUAAACCUUCUGAACGUGACUAAAUGACCAUUUUACCCUUACUUCCCGUAAAACUAUAUUGUCUUAAUACUAACGAAGUAUGUGUUUGAAUUGUUUGUGUAAGGAAGAUAACGAAGCGCCUGGAUGGACACAGUUAAAGCUGCCCGGGCAAGCUCCAGCUGCCCGAUGCGGGCAUACUGUCACCUCUGGAGGCCACUAUCUUCUCAUGUUUGGAGGCCAUGGAACCGGUGGUUGGUUGAGUCGCUAUGAUGUUU